AAAAUACGGGAGGCAGCAGUGGGGAAUAUUGCGCAAUGGGGGCAACCCUGACGCAGCCAUGCCGCGUGAAUGAAGAAGGCCUUCGGGUUGUAAAGUUCUUUCGGUGACGAGGAAGGUUGUUGUGUUAAUAGCGCAACAAAUUGACGUUAAUCACAGAAGAAGCACCGGCUAACUCCGUGCCAGCAGCCGCGGUAAUUUUU
rnacentral:rRNA from 1 species